AUGAACGCUGGCGGCGUGCCUAAUACAUGCAAGUCGAGCGAACAGAUGAGGAGCUUGCUCCUCUGACGUUAGCGGCGGACGGGUGAGUAACACGUGGAUAACCUACCUAUAAGACUGGGAUAACUUCGGGAAACCGGAGCUAAUACCGGAUAAUAUAUUGAACCGCAUGGUUCAAUAGUGAAAGACGGUUUUGCUGUCACUUAUAGAUGGAUCCGCGCCGCAUUAGCUAGUUGGUAAGGUAACGGCUUACCAAGGCAACGAUGCGUAGCCGACCUGAGAGGGAUCGGCCACACUGGAACUGAGACACGGUCCAGACUCCUACGGGAGGCAGCAGUAGGGAAUCUUCCGCAAUGGGCGAAAGCCUGACGGAGCAACGCCGCGUGAGUGAUGAAGGUCUUCGGAUCGUAAAACUCUGUUAUUAGGGAAGAACAAAUGUGUAAGUAACUAUGCACGUCUUGACGGUACCUAAUCAGAAAGCCACGGCUAACUACGUG
rnacentral:rRNA from 1 species